AACGAACGCUGGCGGCAUGCCUAACACAUGCAAGUCGAACGAGACCUUCGGGUCUAGUGGCGCACGGGUGCGUAACGCGUGGGAAUCUGCCCUUGGGUUCGGAAUAACACAGAGAAAUUUGUGCUAAUACCGGAUGAUGUCUUCGGACCAAAGAUUUAUCGCCCAGGGAUGAGCCCGCGUAAGAUUAGGUAGUUGGUGGGGUAAUGGCCUACCAAGCCGACGAUCUUUAGCUGGUCUGAGAGGAUGAUCAGCCACACUGGGACUGAGACACGGCCCAGACUCCUACGGGAGGCAGCAGUGGGGAAUAUUGGACAAUGGGCGCAAGCCUGAUCCAGCAAUGCCGCGUGAGUGAUGAAGGCCUUAGGGUUGUAAAGCUCUUUUACCCGGGAUGAUAAUGACAGUACCGGGAGAAUAAGCUCCGGCUAACUCCGUGCCAGCCGCCGCCGUAA
rnacentral:rRNA from 1 species